UCCGUAGCUGGUCUGAGAGGAUGAUCAGCCACAUCGGGACUGAGACACGGCCCGAACUCCUACGGGUGGCAGCAGAGGGGAAUAUUGGACAAUGGGCGACAGCCUGAUCCAGCCAUGCCGCGUGUGUGAAGAAGGCUUUCGGGUUGUAAAGCACUUUCAGUGAGGAAGAACGCCUUCGGGCUAAUACGCCGGAGGAAAGACAUCACUCACAGAAGAUGCACCGGCUAACUCCGUGCCAGCAGCCGCGGUAAUACGGAGGGUGCGAGCGUUAAUCGGAAUUACUGGGCCUAAAGCGCGCGUAGGUGGCUUGAUAAGCCGGUUGGGAAGGCCCCGGGCUCAACCUGGGAACGGCAUCCGGAACUGUCAGGCUAGAGUGCAGGAGAGGAAGGUAGAAUUCCCGGUGUAGCGUUGAAAUGCGUAGAGAUCGGGAGGAAUACCAGUGGCGAAGGCGGCCUUCUGGACUGACACUGACACUGAGGUGCGAGAGCGUGGGUAGCAAACAGGAUCAGAUACCCUGGUAGUCCACGCCGUAAACGAUGUCGACUAGCCGUUGGGGUCCUUGAGACCUUUGUGGCUCAGUUAACGCGAUAAGUCGACCGCCUGCGGAGUACGGCCGCAAGGUUAAAACUCAAAUGAAUUGACGGGGGCCCGCACAAGCGGUGGAACAUGUGGUUUAAUUCGAUGCAACGCAAAGAACCUUACCUACCCUUGACAUCGAGAGAACUUUCCAGAGAUGGAUUGGUGCCUUCGGGAACUCUCAGACAGCUGCUGCAUAGCUGUCGUCAGCUCGUGUUGUGACAUGUUGGGUUAAGUCCCGUAACGAGCGCAACCCUUGUCUCUAUUUGCCAGCGAUUCGGUCGGGAACUCUAGGGAGACUGCCGGUGACAAACCGGAGGAAGGUGGGGACGACGUGAAGUCAUCAUGGCCCUUACGGGU
rnacentral:rRNA from 1 species